UACAGAGUAGUUUUACAAGCGUCAAGUGUCCGUGGGAUGGGAUGUUGCCCCGGAACGAAGCCGAUUCAAUCGACGCGGUUUGUAGAAUGCAUUCGCUGUC
rnacentral:ncRNA from 2 species